rnacentral:tRNA from 1 species
UGGGGAGUCGCCUAAUGGUAUGGCACUGCUCUUUGAAAGCAGAAUAAUGCAGGUUCAAACCCUGCCUCCCCAG